rnacentral:tRNA from 1 species
GCCCUCGUGGCGGAACUGGUAUACGCGUACGGUUUAGGACCGUAUUCCUUUACAGGAUUAGGGGUUCAAAUCCUCUCGAGG